GGGGGCAGUGUAAUGCAACAGUCUCAUCGUAUGGACGGAAGAAGGACAGCUGACAGUUGAAAGGUCCGAAAUGCCAAGAAAUACGAGGAAUGUGUUGUCACCUGUAAAUACCAUAUCUGCUGCUCCUCGGGAUACCAGACAGAUAAAAUCUCUAAAGGAAAACAAGACAGAGAGGGAGCAAGAAAGAGAGGCUAUAAGAGACUGUAGACAAGCAGUCUUUAUUUCUUGAACAAGAUGCAUGAAGAGACAGAGCUAAGAUGAGUGGGAGGAAAUUAUAGCUACCAAAGUGUGAUGAUUUGACAGCACGUAUCCAAAGCAGACCUAACUGCUUCCUUACGCUG